rnacentral:rRNA from 1 species
AUUGAACGCUGGCGGCAUGCUUUACACAUGCAAGUCGGACGGCAGCACAGAGAAGCUUGCUUCUUGGGUGGCGAGUGGCGAACGGGUGAGUAAUAUAUCGGAACGUACCGAGUAAUGGGGGAUAACUAAUCGAAAGAUUAGCUAAUACCGCAUAUUCUCUGAGGAGGAAAGCAGGGGACCUUCGGGCCUUGCGUUAUUCGAGCGGCCGAUAUCUGAUUAGCUAGUUGGUGGGGUAAAGGCCUACCAAGGCGACGAUCAGUAGCGGGUCUGAGAGGAUGAUCCGCCACACUGGGACUGAGACACGGCCCAGACUCCUACGGGAGGCAGCAGUGGGGAAUUUUGGACAAUGGGCGCAAGCCUGAUCCAGCCAUGCCGCGUGUCUGAAGAAAGCCUUCGGGUUGUAAAGGACUUUUGUCAGGGAAGAAAAGGCUGUUGCUAAUAUCGACAGCUGAUGACGGUACCUGAAGAAUAAGCACCGGCUAACUACGUG